GUAAGUAUAGCUCAGUGGUAGAGCGUGUGCUUAGCAUGCACGAGGUCCUGGGUUCAAUCAAUCCCCAGUACCUCCA
rnacentral:tRNA from 1 species